rnacentral:rRNA from 1 species
AGCGUAGACGGCACAGCAAGUCUGAAGUGAAAUCCCCGGGCUCAACCCGGGAACUGCUUUGGAAACUGUUGGGCUGGAGUGCUGGAGAGGCAAGCGGAAUUCCUAGUGUAGCGGUGAAAUGCGUAGAUAUUAGGAGGAACACCAGUGGCGAAGGCGGCUUGCUGGACAGUAACUGACGUUGAGGCUCGAAAGCGUGGGGAGCAAACA